rnacentral:lncRNA from 1 species
AAUGGGUAACCCUACACUCCCUCCAGCACGGUCACUGUUUACCUGUUUCACACUCCGUCUACUUGCUGCCCACGUGUAAGGUGUUUUUGCACAGGUGUUGUCAGGAUACAAAUACAAUUUCAUAAUAUGUUUUUCUUCUCAUUUAUUGUUGUUCAGUUUCCCAAACUGCUUUACGAUCAUCACAGUAUUUUAACGGCUGCGCCUUAAUCUGCUUGGUUACUGUAUUUACCUUUCCCCGACCGGUUAAUAUUUAGCUGUUUUCAGUAAUUUUCCCUAACCGAUUUCCAAGACCUGACUGGGACGCUCAGUGCUUAAAGCAUGAGCUCUCAACAUCUCCAAAUAUCCAGCUCCUAUCAAACUGGUCAGCCCUUCCCUCCACUCACUCUUUGGCUCAGGAGAGCUCCACUCUGCUCAGUGCUAUGUCAUCCUC